UACGGAGGGUGCAAGCGUUCUCCGGAUUCACUGGGUUUAAAGGGUGCGUAGGUGGGGUGGUAAGUCAGUGGUGAAAUCUCCGAGCUUAACUUGGAAACUGCCAUUGAUACUAUCAUUCUUGAAUAUUGUGGAGGUCAGCGGAAUAUGUCAUGUAGCGGUGAAAUGCUUAGAUAUGACAUAGAACACCAAUUGCGAAGGCAGCUGGCUACACAUAUAUUGACACUGAGGCACGAAAGCGUGGGGAUCAAACAGG
rnacentral:rRNA from 1 species